UUCCUAUGCUACCGGCAACCACCUACACGUAGGUGGGUUUCUUGGCAUAGAAAAGCAGUUUACAACCCUAGGGCCGUCAUCCUGCACGCGGGAUAGCUGGUUCAGCCUUGCGGCCAUUGACCAAUAUUCCUCA
rnacentral:rRNA from 1 species